CCUGAUUCCCAUAGGAGGUCCAGCCUGCCCAGUGACAAAGUUAAACGGCCGCGGUACCCUAACCGUGCAAAGGUAGCGCAAUCACUUGUUCUUUAAAUGAGGACUAGUAUGAACGGCAUCACGAGGGUUAUGCUGUCUCCCUACUUUAUUCAGUGAAACUGAUCUCCCCGUGAAGAAGCGGGGAUAAAAAUAUAAGACGAGAAGACCCCAUGGAGCUUUAAACUCAGUAUCAACUGCCAUAAUUAAAACCUAAUACCCAAGCAGCAUAUGACUACUAGUUUUCGGUUGGGGUGACCACGGAGUAAAACCUAACCUCCAUGAUGAAAGGAAAUAAUAACCUAAAUUAAGAGCUACAACUCUAAAUAUCAUAAAAUUGACUAAAUUGAUCCAAUUAAUUGAUCAACGAACCAAGUUACCCUGGGGAUAACAGCGCAAUCCAUUUCAAGAGCUCUUAUCGACAAAUGGGUUUACGACCUCGAUGUUGGAUCAGGGUAUCCCAGUGGCGCAGCCGCUACUAACGGUUCGUUUGUUCAACGAUUAAAACCCU
rnacentral:rRNA from 1 species